AUGGGUGCAUACAAGUAUAUCCAGGAGCUAUGGAGAAAGAAGCAGUCUGAUGUCACGCGCUUUCUUCUGAGGGUCCGCUGCUGGCAGUACCGCCAGCUCUCUGCUCUUCACAGGGCUCCCCGCCCCACCCGGCCUGAUAAAGCGCGCCAACUGGGCUACAAGGCCAAGCAAGGUUACGUUAUACAUAGGAUUUGUGUUAGCCGUGGUGGCCGAAAACGCCCAGUUCCUAAGGGUGCAACUUACGGCAAGCCUGUCCAUCAUGGUGUUAACCAGCUAAAAUUUUGCUCGAAGCCUUCAGUCCGUUGCGGAGGAGCGAGCUGGACGCCACUGUGGGGCUCUGGGAGUCCUGAAUUCUUACUGGGUUGGUGAAGAUUCCACAUACAAAUUUUUUGAGGUUAUCCUCAUUGAUCCAUUCCAUAAAGCUAUCAGAAGAAAUCCUGACACCCCAUGGAUCACCAAACCAGUCCACAAGCACAGGGAGAUGCGUGGGCUGACAUCUGCAGGCCGAAAGAGCCGUGGCCUUGGAAAGGGCCAUAAGUUCCACCACACUAUUUGUGGUUCUCGCCGGGCAGCUUGGAGAAGGCGCAAUACUCUCCAGCUCCACCGUUACCGCUAA
rnacentral:lncRNA from 1 species